UCCUGGUUUCCCAGGCAGUCCCAUUAGAGUGCUCGACGAAUCGAUAGCAACUAAUAGCAAGGGUUGCGCUCGUUAGAGGACUUAACCAGACAUCUCACGACACGAGCUGACGACAGCCAUGCAGCACCUGUGCAAUUGUCCAAGCAAGCUUGGAAGAUCGUAUUUCUACGACUGUCAAAAGCAUGUCAAACCCAGGUAAGGUUCCUCGCGUAGUGUCGAAUUAAACCACAUGUUCCACCGCUUGUGCGGACCCCCGUCAAUUCCUUUGAGUUUUAGUCUUGCGACCGUAGUUCCCAGGCGGAUCACUUAACGCGUUAGCUGCGAUACUGACCUUGCAAAGCAAGACCAACAUCUAGUGAUCAUCGUUUACAGCGUGGACUAC
rnacentral:misc_RNA from 1 species